CUUUCGCCGGACCUGACUGCUAUCGGAUUGAUACUAAGCCAUGUGAGUCUUUGUAGCAAUACAAGGCAGACGGCUCAGUAACGCGUAGCCAACCUACCCUAUGGACAGGGAUAACCUCGGGAAACUGAGGAUAAUACCUGAUAGAUCAUAAUGCCUGGAACGGUUUAUGGUCCAAAUGAUUCGUCGCCGUAGGAUGGGACUGCGGCCUAUCAGCUUGUUGGUGAGGUAAUGGCCCACCAAGGCUAUUACAGGUACGGGCUCUGAGAGGAGAAGCCCGGAGAUGGGUACUGAGACACGGACCCAGGCCCUAUGGGGCGCAGCAGGCGAGAAAACUUUGCAAUGUGCGAAAGCACGACAAGGUUAAUCCGAGUGAUUCCUGCUAAAGGAAUCUUUUGUUAGUCGUAAAACCACUGAUGAAUAAGGGGUGGGCAAGUUCUGGUGU
rnacentral:rRNA from 1 species